GAUGAACGCUGGCGGCGUGCCUAAUACAUGCAAGUCGAGCGAACAGACGAGGAGCUUGCUCCUCUGACGUUAGCGGCGGACGGGUGAGUAACACGUGGAUAACCUACCUAUAAGUCUGGGAUAACUUCGGGAAACCGGAGCUAAUACCGGAUAAUAUAUUGAACCGCAUGGUUCAAUAGUGAAAGACGGUUUUGCUGUCACUUAUAGAUGGAUCCGCGCCGCAUUAGCUAGUUGGUAAGGUAACGGCUUACCAAGGCAACGAUGCGUAGCCGACCUGAGAGGGUGAUCGGCCACACUGGAACUGAGACACGGUCCAGACUCCUACGGGAGGCAGCAGUAGGGAAUCUUCCGCAAUGGGCGAAAGCCUGACGGAGCAACGCCGCGUGAGUGAUGAAGGUCUUCGGAUCGUAAAACUCUGUUAUUAGGGAAGAACAAAUGUGUAAGUAACUAUGCACGUCUGGACGGUACCUAAUCAGAAAGCCACGGCUAACUACGU
rnacentral:rRNA from 1 species